GGGAGCUCGUGGGCAUGACUUAGAGACUGGUAACAUCCAGGGACAGCAUUUGGUAGAUCUGACACAGGGGCUGCAGGGCUGAGGGUAGAAAUGGGAGGCAGGCAGAAUCUAACAAUGAGCCACAGGCUCCCAGGUGAAUGUAGGCCCCGGGGUGCAGCAGAAGAAGACAAUCAGAGGCAACAUAUUCACUUCUACAGGUGGGGCUUGGAGCUCAUUCAUUCUCUCACAAGACCCACCGAGUCCACUGCCAGGCCCCGAGGUAGAGCAGCAACAAAACACAGUCCCUGCCCUCAGAAAGCUCCAGGUGAAACCUGACUUCCUGUGGACGGCAACAACACCCUGAGGUAGGGAGAAUCUUGUCUGUCCCUGUCACCCAGGGGAGAGGAUUGCAAGGAUUAAGGUUAGAGAAGGAGGACCAGGAAGGUUGAGGAGCGGAGGCGUCUGACCCCACUGUCAACGGCCUCCUCCCCACCCUCAGGCAGCUACUUUCCCAAGUAGGAGGCACUGGGAAUUAGCAAGAUGGCAACAUCAGGAUAUCUGACAUCUUUUCUUACAAAACAAACAAAGGUGUACAAUACCACCUACUUCCCUAGAAACACAACAGCUUGUUGUUCAGAGAACUGCCUGCCCCAGACAUCGGUGGGAAAAGACAUGUAACAGCAACACUUCAGAAAUAAGCAGACGCCUAGGGCCUAGGGCCUGGCCUUUUACUCUAAAGCAUCUACUCCUCAGUAACCGCAGCAGAGCCGUUCUGCUCCCGGAACACAAGUCUAACCUCU
rnacentral:lncRNA from 1 species